GAUCCUGGCUCAGGAUGAACGCUAGCUACAGGCUUAACACAUGCAAGUCGAGGGGAAACGAUAUUGGAAGCUUGCUUCCGAUAGGCGUCGACCGGCGCACGGGUGAGUAACGCGUAUCCAACCUGCCCACCACUUGGGGAUAACCUUGCGAAGGUAAGACUAAUACCCAAUGAUAUCUCUAGAAGACAUCUGAAAGAGAUUAAAGAUUUAUCGGUGAUGGAUGGGGAUGCGUCUGAUUAGCUUGUUGGCGGGGUAACGGCCCACCAAGGCGACGAUCAGUAGGGGUUCUGAGAGGAAGGUCCCCCACAUUGGAACUGAGACACGGUCCAAACUCCUACGGGAGGCAGCAGUGAGGAAUAUUGGUCAAUGGGCGAGAGCCUGAACCAGCCAAGUAGCGUGCAGGAUGACGGCCCUAUGGGUUGUAAACUGCUUUUAUAAGGGAAUAAAGUUAGUCUCGUGAGACUUUUUGCAUGUACCUUAUGAAUAAGGACCGGCUAAUUCCGUG
rnacentral:rRNA from 1 species